UACAGAGGUCUCAAGCGUUGUUCGGAUUCAUUGGGCGUAAAGGGUGCGUAGGCGGCGCGGUAAGUCGGGUGUGAAAUCUCGGAGCUUAACUCCGAAACUGCAUUCGAUACUGCCGUGCUUGAGGACUGGAGAGGAGACUGGAAUUUACGGUGUAGCGGUGAAAUGCGUAGAUAUCUGGAGGAACACCGGUGGCGAAGGCGGCAUCCUGGACCGACACUGACGCUGAGGAGCGAAAGCCAGGGGAGCAAACGGG
rnacentral:rRNA from 1 species